GCCUCAAUGGCGUAGUGGUCAUCAUGCCUGACUGGUAACCAGGGAGACGUGGGUUUGAUUCCAGCUUGGGACA